UAAAUGGGUACUGUCAAAAGUACCCAAAAUAUAAAAAUAAAAAUAGUAAUAUUCCUAGAAUAAUAUUCCAGACUUUUGGGUAAAGUUUGGUAAUUAUUGGAGUUAAAUAGAUAGACGAACCAAUACUCGCUUAGAGCCACUUAACCUAUGUUAAGUGACUUAAGUCACCAAAUGACCCUCAUUUCCCACCCAGCCCGUCGACGCCCAGAAAGAAGAGAAGAGAAGAGGAAGGGAGGGAGAGAGAGAAAGAAAACCUAGGUUGUGUGAUUUUCAACCGAUUGGAGCGAUUCAAAAGCCUAAAUCAUUUAGAAUCUUCCCCUCUUUCAUAAUCCUAACUUUGUUUUGAGUGGGGAGCAUUGUGGAGAGGGAUAUUGGCUCUCAAAAAUUCGGCCCUUUGGUGAAAAUUGGGGUUUUGAGAGUUUCUACCUCCAUUGAAGCUUGAGGAGCCAUCAAUCCUUGGUUGUGUGACCAUUGGUGGAUUGAGACAUUUGGACCAACCGUGAGUGAUCAACCAUUGGAGCAAGCUAUGGAGCUUGAAUAGCUCAUUGGAAUUGGUGUAUGUUUGUAAAAGUUGAUUGCUGAAACUGUUGGUGAAGAACAAAGGUUGACUGAAGCAUUGAGGUAAGGAUGCUGCAGGAGCCUCUGGUGGCAAGUGGUCAUACCUAGAUUAUGCAUGAAAUAUGGCACUUCUUUGAGUUUAUGCAUGCCUGUUGUAGUUGACAUGUAUAGGAUUUUAUUUUGAAAGCCCAUGAUCAUUUGUAUAUCUUGAUUCAUUGGAUGAACUUAGCCUAUGCUCAUGCCUUUGGUUACACCUUUUGUUGAUGGGAGCCAAGGGAAUGAUCAUAGUGUUUUGUAAGCUAAGUUCUAUGAUUUGUAAAGGAUAUGUAAUGUAAAUGAUGCCUACUUGGAAUUCAAUAUAU